rnacentral:tRNA from 1 species
GUCCCCAUCGUCUAGUGGCCUAGGACACCAGCCUCUCACGUUGGUAACACGGGUUCAAAUCCCGUUGGGGACGCCA